rnacentral:misc_RNA from 1 species
GUGACUAUGAUUUACUUGCAGAAAGUGUUGGUGGUCGGCUGUUUUUUGCUGGUGAGGCAACAACUAGGCAAUAUCCAGCCACAAUGCAUGGUGCCUUCUUGAGUGGUUUAAGAGAAGCUUCUCGCAUUUUAAGAAUUAGUAGAAGUUGGCAAAAUAAUUCAAGGAAGUCUGUGCAGAGGAACGCUGGACUAAGCAAUGAUACAUUGGUAGAUCUAUUCAGGAGACCUGACCUAGCAUUUGGAAAUUUGUCAUUUAUAUCUAAUCCUUUGAUACAAGCCCCAAAUUCAAUGGGUAUUAUGAGAAUUACUUUUGAUAAUUGCGGAGAUUAUCUGAAGAAGGAAUUAGAGGAGAGCUUCCAAAAUCCUUUGCAUCUACCAUUGCAGCUUUAUGUAGUGUUAUCUUGUCAACAAGUACAUGAGCUACAGUUGAUGACAGGGGGUAAUGAGGAUAAGUUGUCAUAUUUGGUUAAGAACUUGGGCUUGAAGUUAAUGGGACAUAGCGCCCUCUUAAAUCUAUAUGGUUCCUUGAUUUCUAGCAUUACUAAUGCACGAAGAGGUCGAGGCAGGAACCGGAUAAGUGCAGUACAAUACAGCGCUGUGUAGAGAUGCCAUUAGUUUCAACACUUGACAUUUGAUGGGCAUUUCCAAUUUAGCAUGAAGUAUUUUGAUCCAAAUGUAUGCUUCAUUAAAUGGUCAUAAAUUGGGUGUGGCUUAUGCUCCUCGAGUGUACAAUUCUGUAUAUAAUCUAGCUGUGUAUGUAAUUUAUCAACUCCAAGAGAACAAUCCUUGGUGCUUGACUAGGACGGAGAUUUGUUUUCUUCCUGCAAACAUUCUUUUGUCUGACCAUGACCAGCUUANNNNNNNGCAGAGCCAUGACUCCUUGUAGCCAUGAAUUUGAUAGUGUAGGACUGUAGGUUAAAGCAUGCUACUCAUUGUCGAGGAGUAUUGCUGGGGGAAAAAUAUUGUUGUAUUUGAUUGCUCUUCUGGCUCUGCAAAUGCUAGUAUACAAAUACAAGC